GACGAACGCUGGCGGCGUGCUUAACACAUGCAAGUCGAACGGAAAGGCCCUGCUUUUGUGGGGUGCUCGAGUGGCGAACGGGUGAGUAACACGUGAGUAACCUGCCCUUGACUUUGGGAUAACUUCAGGAAACUGGGGCUAAUACCGGAUAGGAGCUCCUGCUGCAUGGUGGGGGUUGGAAAGUUUCGGCGGUUGGGGAUGGACUCGCGGCUUAUCAGCUUGUUGGUGGGGUAGUGGCUUACCAAGGCUUUGACGGGUAGCCGGCCUGAGAGGGUGACCGGCCACAUUGGGACUGAGAUACGGCCCAGACUCCUACGGGAGGCAGCAGUGGGGAAUAGUGCACAAGGGGCGGAAGCCUGAUGCAGCAACGCCGCGUGCGGGAUGACGGCCAUCGGGUUGUAAACCGCUUUCGCCUGUGACGAAGCGUGAGUGACGGUAAUGGGUAAAGAAGCACCGGCUAACUACGUG
rnacentral:rRNA from 1 species